rnacentral:rRNA from 1 species
UACGUAGGGUCCGAGCGUUGUCCGGAAUUAUUGGGCGUAAAGAGCUCGUAGGUGGUUUGUCGCGUUGUUCGUGAAAACUCACAGCUCAACUGUGGGCGUGCGGGCGAUACGGGCAGACUUGAGUACUGCAGGGGAGACUGGAAUUCCUGGUGUAGCGGUGGAAUGCGCAGAUAUCAGGAGGAACACCGGUGGCGAAGGCGGGUCUCUGGGCAGUAACUGACGCUGAGGAGCGAAAGCGUGGGGAGCGAACGGG